GACGAACGCUUGCGGCGUGCCUAAUACUUGCAAGUAGAACGCUGAAGAGAGGAGCUUGCUCUUCUUGGAUGAGUUGCGAACGGGUGAGUAACGCGUAGGUAACCUGCCUUGUAGCGGGGGAUAACUAUUGGAAACGAUAGCUAAUACCGCAUAACAAUGGAUGACACAUGUCGUUUAUUUGAAAGGGGCAAUUGCUCCACUACAAGAUGGACCUGCGUUGUAUUAGCUAGUAGGUGAGGUAAUGGCUCACCUAGGCGACGAUACAUAGCCGACCUGAGAGGGUGAUCGGCCACACUGGGACUGAGACACGGCCCAGACUCCUACGGGAGGCAGCAGUAGGGAAUCUUCGGCAAUGGGGGCAACCCUGACCGAGCAACGCCGCGUGAGUGAAGAAGGUUUUCGGAUCGUAAAGCUCUGUUGUAAGUCAAGAACGGGUGUGAGAGUGGAAAGUUCACACUGUGACGGUAGCUUACCAGAAAGGGACGGCUAACUACGUGCCAGCAGCCGCGGUAAUACGUAGGUCCCGAGCGUUGUCCGGAUUUAUUGGGCGUAAAGCGAGCGCAGGCGGUUUGAUAAGUCUGAAGUAAAAGGCUGUGGCUCAACCAUGGUUCGCUUUGGAAACUGUCAAACUUGAGUGCAGAAGGGGAGAGUGGAAUUCCAUGUGUAGCGGUGAAAUGCGUAGAUAUAUGGAGGAACACCGGUGGCGAAAGCGGCUCUCUGGUCUGUAACUGACGCUGAGGCUCGAAAGCGUGGGGAGCGAACAGGAUUAGAUACCCUGGUAGUCCACGCCGUAAACGAUGAGUGCUAGGUGUUGGAUCCUUUCCGGGAUUCAGUGCCGCAGCUAACGCAUUAAGCACUCCGCCUGGGGAGUACGACCGCAAGGUUGAAACUCAAAGGAAUUGACGGGGGCCCGCACAAGCGGUGGAGCAUGUGGUUUAAUUCGAAGCAACGCGAAGAACCUUACCAGGUCUUGACAUCCCGAUGCUAUUUCUAGAGAUAGAAAGUUACUUCGGUACAUCGGUGACAGGUGGUGCAUGGUUGUCGUCAGCUCGUGUCGUGAGAUGUUGGGUUAAGUCCCGCAACGAGCGCAACCCCUAUUGUUAGUUGCCAUCAUUCAGUUGGGCACUCUAGCGAGACUGCCGGUAAUAAACCGGAGGGAGGUGGGGAUGACGUCAAAUCAUCAUGCCCCUUAUGACCUGGGCUACACACGUGCUACAAUGGUUGGUACAACGAGUUGCGAGUCGGUGACGGCGAGCUAAUCUCUUAAAGCCAAUCUCAGUUCGGAUUGUAGGCUGCAACUCGCCUACAUGAAGUCGGAAUCGCUAGUAAUCGCGGAUCAGCACGCCGCGGUGAAUACGUUCCCGGGCCU
rnacentral:rRNA from 1 species